rnacentral:rRNA from 1 species
UACGUAGGGGGCAAGCGUUGUCCGGAAUCAUUGGGCGUAAAGAGCGUGUAGGCGGCCCGAUAAGUCCGCUGUGAAAGUCGAGGGCUCAACCCUCGAAUGCCGGCGGAUACUGUCGGGCUAGAGUCCGGAAGAGGCGAGUGGAAUUCCUGGUGUAGCGGUGAAAUGCGCAGAUAUCAGGAGGAACACCUAUGGCGAAGGCAGCUCGCUGGGACGUUACUGACGCUGAGACGCGAAAGCGUGGGGAGCAAACAGG